GUGCUCUCUUCAAUAGCACAUUUACUAAAAUUGGAAUGAUAUGGACCCUGCUCAAGGAUGACAUGCAAAUUCAUAAAGUGUCCCAUUAAGGA
rnacentral:snRNA from 1 species